rnacentral:tRNA from 1 species
AGUAGCUCAGUGGUAGAGCGGUCGGCUGUUAACUGACUGGUCGUAGGUUCAGAAAGCCCUUCUU